GACGAACGCUGGCGGCGUGCCUAAUACAUGCAAGUAGAACGAGGGGCGAACGGGGGAGUAAUGUCUGGGAAACUGCCCGGGGGAGGGGGAUGACUACGGGAAACGGUACCUAAUACCGCAUACCAUCGGAUGGGCCCAGAUGGGAUUAGCUAGUAGGUGGGGUAACGGCUAACCUAGGCGACGAUCCCUAGCGGGUCGGAGAGGAUGACCAGCCACCUUGGAACGGGGCAACGGUCCAGAGUCUUACGGAAGGAGGGAGUGGGGAAUAUUGGACAAUGGGGGAAAGCCUGAUGCGGACAUGCGGGGUGUAUGAAGAAGGCCUUCGGGUUGUAAAGUACUUUCGGCGAGGAGGCGUUACUCGCAGAAGAAGCGCCGGCUAACUCCGUGCCAGCAGCCGCGGUAAUAC
rnacentral:rRNA from 1 species